AACGAACGCUGGCGGCAUGCCUAACACAUGCAAGUCGAACGAGACCUUCGGGUCUAGUGGCGCACGGGUGCGUAACGCGUGGGAACCUGCCCUUAGGUUCGGAAUAACUCCCCGAAAGGGGUGCUAAUACCGGAUAAUGUCUUCGGACCAAAGAUUUAUCGCCUUUGGAUGGGCCCGCGUUGGAUUAGCUAGUUGGUAGGGUAAAAGCCUACCAAGGCGACGAUCCAUAGCUGGUCUGAGAGGAUGAUCAGCCACACUGGGACUGAGACACGGCCCAGACUCCUACGGGAGGCAGCAGUGGGGAAUAUUGGAAAAUGGGCGAAAGCCUGAUCCAGCAAGGCCGCGUGAGUGAUGAAGGCGUUAGGGUUGUAAAGCUCCUUUACCCGGGAUGAUAAUGACAGUACCGGGAGAAUAAGCUCCGGCUAACUCCGUG
rnacentral:rRNA from 1 species